UACCAUUUCUCUGUAAGAUACCAAUCUGUUUGGUUGGCUGAGAGAGAAUGACUGACCGGAUCCUCUAUAUUGUCUCUAACAUGUCCUCUGUCCCCUGGGAGGGCAGCGCAGCAGCUGCAGUGCCUGCCACUUCUCCUCCCACACCUGGGCACUACCAUGUUCUCUACCGAGGGUGUGGAGAAACUCAGGUAGGCUGGCAUGGGGAGACGUACUGCCUGGUUGGUGGCUACCGGGUCCAUGGGGAUGCUCC
rnacentral:lncRNA from 1 species